CGACUGAAGAAAAAAAGUCACCUACAUCUUGGAUGCCCUGGGGGGCAGAUUACCACCAUCCCGUUGACCUCCCAGACAUCACUGGCCUGAAAUGGAAAGAAGCCAUCAUCCGGUGUCUGGAGAGCAUCUGUCCCUGAUCCAGGACCCAGCUAGACUCAGAGCCUGAAUCACCAACUUCAACCACGGAGCAUUCGUGUGUACCACCCACAGACAGAGAGCUACUACUCACCGCGACUCGUCAGCCAGAGCCCAAGGAGAAGAGGACAGAGCUCCGCCUGCUACCUUUAACCUCUUCGCUCCAUCUCGGCCUGUCGACCUGUUGGCUCUGUCUUUGCUCCUCCCAACUUCGACUCCACCGGAGACCCUUGGACUUGUGGCUCCACCGGGUUCCCUCGUCCUGGCAGCUCCCCCUUGGUCAGUCGUCACACCACUUCUGCCACGGACUUGCGGGCUUGUCUGCUGCACUCCAUCCCUCCACCCCUACAGCUGCAGCGGGUUCCUCCUUCCCCUUGGCAUCGCCUCUGUCCUCCAUCACACCGGCUCCACCUCAGCCCUCGCCGUGGCAACAUAGUGACUUGUAUAUAAGAAAUAACCAGUGACUGAUAUAUACACAAACAUACAAAGACAGAAAAAAAACAAAAAAAAAAACAAGCAAUAGUUGUAUGGUUGUGGUAGUUUCAACAGGUACAGAGGUAAAUUAAAUCCAUAGUUUCAUUAAUUGUAUUAAUAAUUAUUAUUAUUAUUUAAAUGUCCUUGUGUUGUUGUGUUUCAUGGACUUUUAGUAAGAUACCAAUAUUGCACUUUUAAUAACUCUUUUUAACAUCAAGCACAUCCCGCUCUUUAUUACUCAUUUGCCCAUGUUUCUUUAUCGCUCUAACAUGUCAAGAACUCCUGCCCACUAAAAACUGCAUGGAUAUAUUUGCAUACUGCAAUAUAUAAACAAUAUAGAAAAAGUU